rnacentral:rRNA from 1 species
AUUGAACGCUGGCGGCAGGCUUAACACAUGCAAGUCGAACGAGGGGCGGACGGGUGAGUAAUGUGUGGGAAUGCAGGAUAUGGAGGGGGAUAACUACGGGAAAGUGUCGCUUAUACCGCAUACCAUAGGAUGCGCCCAAGUGGGUGUAGGUAGUUGGUGGGGUAAAGGCUCACCAGGGCGACGACCUCUAGCUGGUCUGAGAGGAUGACCAGCCACACUGGGACUGAGACACGGCCCAGACUCCUACGGGAGGCAGCAGUGGGGAAUAUUGCGCAAUGGGGGCAACCUGACGCAGCCAUGCCGCGUGAAUGAAGAAGGCCUUCGGGUUGUAAAGUUCUUUCGGUAGCGAGGCGUUAACUACAGAAGAAGCACCGGCUAACUCCGUGCCAGCAGCCGCGGUAAUUC